rnacentral:rRNA from 1 species
UACGUAGGGUGCGAGCGUUAAUCGGAAUUACUGGGCGUAAAGAGCGCGCAGGCGGUCGUUCAAGUCGAGUGUGAAAGCCCCCGGCUCAACUGGGGAGGGUCAUUCGAUACUGAUCGACUCGAAGGCAGGAGAGGGAAGCGGAAUUCCCGGUGUAGUGGUGAAAUGCGUAGAUAUCGGGAGGAACACCAGUGGCGAAGGCGGCUUCCUGGCCUGUUCUUGACGCUGAGGCGCGAAAGCUAGGGGAGCAAACGGG